CAUUGCAUAUUGUGUUGUUGAUGUGGGUAGAUGCUGGAUGAUCCAAUAGUCCCUGGCAGGAAGUCCAGUGAGCCUUUGACUACGCCCUGGCACAGAGUUGAGAAAGUCUAGUGAGCCUUUGACUACGCCCUGGCACAGAGAUGGGACACCAAGACCAGGUGCCUAAUAAGGCCCUGGGGCAGUGUAAGUUAUGUUAUGGUUACAGGAAGUCCAGUGAGCCUUUGACUACGCCCUGGCACAGAGUUAAUAUGGGACUAUUUGGUGACAGGUUUACCCUUGAUGUGGUUUGUCUGUGAUGUGAUGCAUUACAUGAUAGCAUGCAUUUUUAAAUGUUUUACUAUUCUGCUCACUGGGCUCCAGUAGCUCACCCCUUUCCCUUAAUCCCCCAGGUUUGCAGGUACAGGGUAGACCAGGAGGUCGUCAGGCGUAAAGUUGUUUUAUGUAAUAGCUAGACGUUGUGGACAUGAUAAAUUGUGUAAUGACGUAAAGAAAUGAAUAGUUAUGUUAUGUAAUGAUAAUAUUGAGGA
rnacentral:lncRNA from 1 species